CCCAAAUCUAUAAAUAUAUUCCAUUAAUAGGCCGACAUAUUCUAUCUUAUCCUCAUCAAAUGUGCAACUGUGCAAGUAAUCUUGACUUGGUUUCCAGGUAAGCUGUUUGAUGAAUUGCCUGAUUGGUACGAGCAGGCUGAUUUAGUAUUCCGUGGGUACACCACUACUCCACUAGGAGAGAUCACCCUGGUCAAUGUAUGGUGAUAAGGCCUCGAAAGUGCCUAUUAGGACAAAUGAAGUAGCUGGGACAUACGGCAAGUAGUUUGUUGCUUUUGCGAAAGAGCUUUAUCUUGCUUAAAUCAAUCUGUGGUCCAAGAUGCUAGAAACCAAUGGCUGGCAGAGAAGAUUCUUCAGGUUAGUCAUCGAAUUAAUUCCAGGUAGAGCGUGCUAUUUUCUCGGUCAAGAACUGCAUAUUCUUAUCUUCCAUCUGUGAAAUCAUGUGCAACAUUGUUGAGCUCACAACAAGGUGAACUUGUUUCUGUACACUGCGAGUCUCCACUUCACACCGGAAGGGACCUAGUAAAGAUUCUUGAUUUCCCCCAACAUUCAGAAGUCGAUGAAGAAAACCCUGGAAGUUCCUUCUCUCAGGCACUACUAAGAAACUAGCACACUAUGUUGUUGCAUUGACACUUGAUGAUGCUGAAGCAGAUGCCAAAGAAAACCCUGCAAGUUCCUUCUCUCAGAUGCCAAAGGAUUUUCAACAUCCAGCGCCAUGGAUGCCCUCCACUCGUCAAUAUUAGCAGCUCUCUCCACAUCCAAAUUCGGAAGCUCAAGCUCCUGCAGAAUUUCAAGAAUCUCUCUGCUCUUACCAAGAAGAAUUGCUGCUCGCCUCACACUUUCUUCCCUUUCUCUGAUGUCCUCUCUGUGACACUUCAACGCUAUGACUUGCACUAGAUUGGAGAGGCAUGCUGCUAGUAUAUCCGAGAUGGUGAUGGAAAUACUCUCAAAUAGCUCGUCAUCAGCUUGUUUCUCGCCAUCUCCCAAUCUUACCAAGAUUGUUUGAGCAAUCCUGAACAUUGAAUUAGCAGCUAUAUCUCUCGUUUCGGCCAUAAAUUCUCUCACAAUCUUUUCUGCAAUGUUAGAAAGGUUUUGCAGUGUUUCCUUGUGUGUUUCGCCUCUCAUUCUCGUUCCCUUCAAAUCCAUGUCAUCCCAUUUUCUGUAUACUUCAUCUCCAACCCAAACAACAUCUGCUGCUCUUCUGACCAUGCUUUCUAACACUCCAGUUCCGUCUAGAGUUUCCUCAAUAAGCUUCAUGAUGGGAAAACCCUCACUAAUGCAAACCAAUAACUGGUUAACCUUCUCAUCAGCAAUGUUGGUCAGAGCAACUGAAAUGGCUGUCAAAGUAACCACAGGGAGAGACCAGCAAUUUGGAAGCUCUUGAGAAUGCAAGCUUGGUACUUGUCCGCUGUCAAAUCGUGCCACCCCAUUGAAGUUUGAAGAUUUCUUCAGAAGUUGGAUCAGAUUCUUGGGCUUCUUUUCCCACCUACCUGUAUCAGCUUAUCCGCCUCGCUGCAGAUGUUCUCGAGGACUUUGGAAGGAAACUGCGGCUCACCUUCAAGUAGAAGAACAUGGCCAAAAUCCACCAGUGCUCCUUCCCUUGGCCUUAAAACAGGCCUUACAUUCUUGCAAAAACACAAGAAAACUACACUACAAAAUCUAGAGAGGAACAAAACUAGUUUGCUAGCUGAAACAAAGAGAAUCUGAACUCCGAAUGCAGAAAUUCAUAACAAAUCUAACUGCAUCACAAAGUAGCUUCUUGCAUACGCGGUUUUGAACUUGGAAUGGAAGUGAUCUGUCUCCCCACUUGAUCAGCCUCCAAGUCCAGUAUGGGUCAACCUUGACUUCAUCUCUGAAGCUCUUUCUCUCCACUUCAGAACUCUUGAACCACAAAGCAGCGAACCAUCUCAUCAUAGGAGCAAUAAUUCCAAUUGCCACCCCCAUAGACUGAAUGUUUAAAAUCCAGCCUACGGACCAAGCUAUGUGAAGACACAAGAUUCCGGAAAUAGAAUAAAUGACAGACCUUGCCAGAACAAACUGAGGGCUGCUAGUCUCAGCCAUCACCCAACACACUUUCACCAUUUUUUCAGUCUCAUCACUGCUAAAUCUUCCCCACUCUACUUGUCUAUUUGAAACUGAUUUAUGUAUUUCAUUAGACUAAUAAUAUUAAACAAUAUAAUAUUUAAAUUGAGAUAAUAAAACAUUCAGUAAUAAUAAUCUUUCAAUUCAUUC